AACGAACGCUGGCGGCGUGCUUAACACAUGCAAGUCGAACGCGAAAGGGACUUCGGUCCUGAGUAGAGUGGCGCACGGGUGAGUAACGCGUAGAUAAUCUGUCCUUGUGUCUGGAAUAAUACGCCGAAAGGUGUACUAAUACCGGAUAUUCUUGCUUUUCUUAAGAUGAGCAAGCAAAGGUGGCCUCUGACAUAAGCUACUGCAUAAGGAGGAGUCUGCGUACCAUUAGCUAGUAGGCGGGGUAAUGGCCCACCUAGGCGACGAUGGUUAACGGGUCUGAGAGGAUGAUCCGUCACACUGGCACUGGAACACGGGCCAGACUCCUACGGGAGGCUGCCGUGAGGAAUAUUGCGCAAUGGGGGAAACCCUGACGCAGCGACGCCGCGUGAGUGAGGGAGGCCUUCGGGUCGUAAAGCUCUGUCAAAGGGAAAGAAGUGCAUAAUGGCUAAUACCUAUUAUGUUUGACGGUACCCUUAAAGGAAGCACCGGCUAACUCCGUGCCAGCCGCCGCCGUAACAC
rnacentral:rRNA from 1 species